GAUCAGUAUGACACGGCCAAUGGCAACGCGCGGAUCUGUCUCGGACUGUUUUUAGCCGGUUUGCCCGCGCUAUAUAUACGCGCUAUACAGCGUAAACGUAACGCACGCAUUUUCCUGCACGUCCGCGAAAUAAUAAUACGAGAAAAAAACGUUCGAUCGAUUCCGAUUUUGCGCGCUACGCGAAACACAACGUACUACUACCACUACUCACUACAAAUUUUAUAUACAAUCGUAAACACGACGACGGAUUAUUUUAUUGUUAAAUUUUAGUGAAGUACGUGUACAUAUAAUAUAUUGUAUGUAUCAAUUUUCGUACGUCAAUGUAACGCAAAGCGAAAACAAAAAAAAACGCACGCGUAUCUCUCUGUGGCGCGCGUACGUGUAAAUGUGCAUACAGCCGAGUCUUCGUAUAUAUACAUGUAUGUUCUUCGUAAUCGAUGCUAAUGUCGAUGCUGUUGUGUGUGCGCGUGUGUGUCUAUAGUGCAUCGAAGCAACGGAUCAGUACGUGUGUGGUGCGAUUAUUAUCCGUGUGUAUACACGCGACGUGAAAAUAUUUAAGUAGCAAAAAAUAUUAAAAAAAAAAAAAAAAACGAAGAAGAAGAAGAGAUACGAGAAGAAGAAGCGGCUAUUAACAGUGUGUGUAUUAGUGUAAAAGAGAGAGAGAGAGAGAGAUAGAUUCAGCAGCAAGUGUGCGUUAUUAUCAUAGUAAACACAGUGAGCUCGGUCGAUUUUGUCAUAUUUUUCGCCAGUUCUCGACGUCGUGCUCGUGCUCUCGCGAAGUCGUCUCCGCUGCUGCAGAAGAUCAUUACAUAAAUAACAAAAAAAAAAAAGAGCCUCUCGGAGAAAUCUGCAUUCUGUGUGUUUGUGCGUAUAAUAAUAUAUAUAAUACAUUUCGUCCAAAAAAGAGCUGCUGCGAGCAUGUAUAAUAAUAUCUCUCUGCUUAUAUGCUGCUCCUCUCCUGCGCUCGUCAUAAUAUAAUCGAAGAGAGAGAGAGAGAAACACACCGACAACAGCACAACGAGAGUGUCGAGGCGCAGUGAAAAGGAGACGAUACACACACACAUUCGCCAAGUGCAUCAUCGUUAAAUAUAUUGUCUGUGUGUGUGUGGUAUAUUAUAUCCGCAGUGAACGUUACAUAUUUUAAAUCAACCGACGACGACGACGACGACGUUCGGAAAAAGCCCCGCAACUCUAUAUAACGUGUAUACAAGUGCCCGUACAGUCUGCUGCCUUGUUUAUUUCGGAGCUCCCUCGUAUUGUUGUGUGUAUCGAGUAGCUACUCGAUAAUAAACUACAGCUACUACAGAAAUACUACUGUGCCGUGUAGUCUUCCAUACUUAACCAAUAAUACGACUGCCAAUACGCACACAAAGACGACAACGGAAUAGUAGUAGCGAAGUGAAGUAAAAAAAAGAAGAAGAAGAGGAAGAAUAGAAGAAAGAAAAGUGUCGUGAAUGCAACGUGAUCGUGAGUGGUGAUGAUACCAGUGUGUGUGUAUUGUGUAUAUAUAAACACAUCAAAAAAAGUGCGUCUAACUUCGUGUAAUGAUCGUUGCCGGUUCUUCGCGCGUAUAGCAUCGUUGCCAAAAAAGAGCAAAGAAAGCAAAGCAACAACAAAAAAAAAGUCACUCGCGCAGCUUGCAGCAAAACGAGUGUGUGUGUGCCUUACGUGAGAUCGCGCAUCAGGGGCCCAUGCAACAGCAGCGGCAACAACAUACGUAUAUAACAUAACUGAAUCCUCGUAUUAUUAGAGCACCGCUGCAUAUAUGUGUGUACGCGAUUCUAUCGUGCACAUAUAGUCGUCGUCGUGCCGUUCGAGAUAGCGUGUCCGUAUUGAGAUCGCCGAGUGGUGCUCCGUCAGCGAGGUCGUGCACAUUGCCGAUGUGUGUAUCGCACAACUAUCGGCACACAUGAAUUUCCUACUUCUGUGAGUUCUUUUUCUGUGCGGCCCGAUACUGACUUUUUACAAGUGUGCGUAUGAGUGUGUUCUUCGAUACAAUACACGCACACAAGGGUCUGACGUACCAGCGCACUGACAGUUGUGCGUUGUUGUUGUUGUCUCUAAUUUAACUCGUGCGCUUGCUGUUUUUUAUUGUAAAACGUUCGUUCGGCUUGAUAUAACGCGAGUGAGGCCAAGACAAGUAUAUUUAAAUGAUAUACGCACGCGAAAGAGGCAAAUCCAAAUGAAAUAAAUUCGAGAAGUCAGAGAUUCGCAACGUGUGCUGCGAUCAGCUGUUCCUCUCUCGCCUCGCGCGCAGUGGGCGUCGUUGCCGUUGUUCUCUCUGCGUGCUGUCGUUCCAGAGUGCUUCGUUCGUCGAGAAAAAUAAUAAAAGUGCAAGUGAUUUUUGACGGGCAGAUAUAUAUAUAUAUAUAUCUGUCGAAGCUCUGUGCGUGCGCGUGAGUGUGUGAGUGAAACACAGAUAGAAACACGUGGACAAAAUUGUAGGCAGGCGCAUCGAGACACCACGUUACGAUGCACCACGAGCAGCCUAUGAGGCUCAGGUGGUUGCUAGCUUUCAACGCCAAAGGACAACGAAAAUCUGGUUGUCGGCGUCAUGAUAAACGAAUAGACUAUUUAGACAUACUGUCUUCUUGCUGAAGUCAACCUGCAAUGUUGUUUAGGUGAAACAAAAGAAGGAGGCGCUGACCGGUGGCGACGGCGGCCAUGCGCCCCGGCCCGCCGUGCACGAGCCGCCGCAGGCCCACCCGUCGCCAGCAGCCGUCGUCGUCAACAACAGCAACAGCAACAUCCGAAGUGUCCUCGCAAUCUAGUCGUCAAUUUCAUUCCAGUAACAAUCAGCAACAGCAGCAAUGCCAUUUCAACGAGAGCAACGGAAGAGACGGUCGGCGGCCGCUACGGAGGAGGAGCCUCGGUGCCGUCGCGUUGUUGCGGCUGCUGCCGAUGCUGCUGCUCGUCGUCGCAGCCUGGACGCCGACGAUCAUCGCCACGCCCGUCAUCGACGCUGUCGGAAGCGCCGUGGCCGCCAACUCGCUCGCCAGCGGCGACAACGGCAUUGCCAUCUACAACGACAAUCCGAACGACAACAACAACGACUCGUCGUUCUCUUACGCCGUCGGGCCGCGAUCGAUAGUCGUGACAACGUCGUCGGUCCACGAGACCAACGGCAGCAACAGCAACAACAAUGUGACGGCUCUGGAGGCGAUAAUGACGAGCAGCAGCAGCAGCAGCAGCAGCAGCAACGGCAUGACGAUGAACAACAUCAACAGCAGCAGCUUGGUGCGACCGCCGAGGGAGCCGCGCAAUCUCACCAUCGUCUACCUGACCGCGGUCAAGGGCGAUCUCAAGGAUCGCCAAGGACUGGCCAUAUCCGGCGCCUUCUCCAUGGCAGUUGACGAGAUCAACAACGAUCCGAACCUGUUGCCCGGUAUGAAGCUUCAGAUGCACUGGUACGACACCAAGGGCGACACGACCGAGUCCACCAGGGUGAUGAUCGACGAGAUCUGCGAGGGCGCCGUGGCCUUCUUCGGGCCCGAGGGCUCCUGCUACAUCGAAGCCAAAGUCUCCGAGUCGAAGAAUCUUCCGCUCAUCAGCUACAAAUGCUCGGACGACAAAGCCACGUCCAUCCGGACGUUCGCGCGCACCGAGCCGCCCGACACUCAGGUCACCAAGUCCGUCAUAGCCCUGCUCAUCCACUACAACUGGAACAAGUUCAGCAUCAUCUUCGAGAAGCCGUGGAACACCGUGGCCAAGUCGCUCCAGUCCCAGGCGCACUACAACAAUCUCACGGUGAACCACUACGUGCAGAUGGUCGACCGGCACAUCUGCUGCGAGGAGCGCAUGGCCUGCUGCCAGGGCGCCGGCUGGUUCGGCACCAUACAGGAGACCAAGAACAUGACGCGUAUUUACAUAUUUCUCGGCACGCCGAUCUCGCUGAUCGAGUUCAUGAACGCGAUGCAGAAUCAGCGGCUGCUCGACGACGGCCAGUACAUGGUCAUCUACGUCGACAUGCUCACGUACACGCCCAAAGAAGCCAUGAAGUACUUAUGGAAACCUGAACACUACAAUCUGCCGGACUGCAUGGACCCGAAGGACAAGGACUUUUUGGUGCGAGCCCGCUCGCUCAUGGUGGUCGCGGCGACGCCGCCCACCCACAACUACAUGGAGUUCACGGAGAAGGUCCGCCACUACACUGCCCAGGAGCCCUUCAACUUUCCCCUGCCCUCGCUCUUUCAGACCAAAUUCGAAAAGCACGUGUCCAUCUACGCGGCGUACCUGUACGACUCGGUGAAGCUGUACGCCUGGGCGCUCGACCGGCUGCUGCGCGAGAAUCCGGACGUCGAGACGGAGAAGAUCGUGAAGAACGGCACGUGGAUCAUCGACACCAUCAUCAGGAGCCACGUGUACAAGAGCAUCAGCGGGGCCAUGAUCAAGGUCGACAAGAACGGCGACUCCGAGGGCAACUUCUCGGUGUUAGCCCUCAAGCGCGAGCCCCUGCAGAUCCUGAACUUUUCGUGCGACUACCAGAUGAAGCCCGUGGGCCAGUUCCAGCAGGGCCAGGUGCUGGCUUAUCGUCCCGCCGAGGCCAUCGACUGGCCGGGCAAGAACAAGCCCGAAGCGGAGCCGGGCUGCGGCUUCUUCAACGAGCACUGCCCCCAGAGCAAUUCGCUCUACACGACGACAAUCGUCACCAUCGCCAUGUUCUUCGCCAUUCUGCUGACCAUAGGCGUGAUGAUCGUGGCGAGCUAUCACUGGCGCUACGAGCAGGAGCUCGCGGGCCUCAUGUGGCGCAUCGAGCUCGACGACGUGCGCUGCCACGACACCAACAAGCUCCAGCUCAAGGCGAGCAGCGACGCCCAGAAGAAGCUCAAGGCCGGCGGCCCCGGCGGCGGCGGCAGCCAUCAGAGCAUCAACAGCAGCUGGUCGUUCGAGUCGAGGCUGGGCGAGCAGCUGUUCACCUCGGUGGGCACGUACAAGGGCUUGGUGGUGAGGAUACGCAAGUGGAGAUUCGACAGGAAGAUCGAUCUGACCCGCGACACCAUGAAGGAGAUGCGGGCGCUGCGCGAGAUGAGCCACAAGAACAUCAACUCGUUCGUCGGGGCCUACCUCGAUCCGCAUACCGCGGUGCUGCUCACCGAGUACUGCGCCAAGGGCAGCCUUUACGACAUCAUCGAGAACGACGACAUCAAGCUGGACGAGAUGUUCAUCACGUCGCUGAUGCACGAUCUCAUCAAGGGCAUGUCGUAUCUGCACGCGUCCAACAUCUUCGUGUGCCACGGCAAUCUCAAGUCGUCCAAUUGCCUGGUGACGUCGCGCUGGGUCCUGCAGGUGUCCGACUUCGGUCUGCACGCCUUUCGCUCCGAGGCCAUCAUGGUGAUCGACGAGACCAGCUCCCAGGACCACGUCGUCGAGACCGGCGAGCACGAGCAGUUCCGAAAUUUGUAUUGGCGAGCGCCGGAAUUGCUGAGGUAUCCCGUGCUGGGCGGCACCAAGGAGGGCGACAUGUACUCCUUCGCUAUCGUGCUGUACGAAUUGAUGAGCCGCAAGGCGCCCUACACCACCGGCGAAAAGGAGGGUCAAACGCCCAAAGACAUUAUCUUUCACGUGACGUACGACGCGCUCAACAACAAGCCGCCGUAUCGUCCCCAGAUCGAUCUGAUCGACGCCAAGGACUACGAGUGCACCGAGUGGAUCAAGCCCAUGAUCAUGGACUGCUGGAACGAGUCGCCCGAGCUCAGGCCCGACUUCAAGAACGUGCGCCAGCGCAUGAACAAGAAGAACGGCAAGAUGCGCCAGACCCUGAUGGACAGGCUGCUCGAUCUCAUGGAGCAGUACGCCAACAAUCUCGAGGAACUCGUGACGGAUCGCACCCGAUUGCUCGAGAAGGAGAAGGAGAAGACCGAGGAUCUGCUGCACAGGAUGCUGCCCAAACCCGUGGCCUCGGUAUUGAAGAGGGGCGAGGACGUGGAGCCCGAGGCCUUCGAGAGCGUAACCAUCUACUUUAGCGACAUCGUCGGCUUCACCGAGAUGUCCGCGUCCAGCACCCCCUUCCAGGUCGUUACUUUCCUCGACUCCCUGUACUCGGUCUUCGACACCAUCACCAAGAAGUACGACGUGUACAAGGUGGAAACGAUCGGCGACGCGUACAUGGUCGUAUCGGGCCUGCCGAUCAAGAACGGCAACAAUCACGCGGGUGAGAUCGCGUCGAUGGCGAUGGACCUGCUGGAGGCGGCGAAGAAGCACACGAUACCCCACAGGCCGAACGAGCCGCUCAGGCUGCGCAUCGGAAUUCAUUCGGGCCCGGUGGUGGCGGGCGUGGUGGGCCUGAUCAUGCCCAGAUACUGUCUGUUCGGCGACACGGUCAACACGGCCUCGCGCAUGGAGUCGAACGGCGAGCCGCUCAAGAUCCACAUAAGCGAUCGCUGCAAGGAGAAGCUCGAUCUCAUCGGCGGCUACGUGACGGAGGAGCGCGGCCUGGUCGAGAUGAAGGGCAAGGGCCGAGUGCUGACCUACUGGCUCGUCGGCAAGACCGAGGAGGCGAUACAGCCGCGCUUCUACGACGACGACUACUCGGGCAUCGGGCCGAUCUUCGACAGCGCGCGCAGCCGACAGCAGGCCAUGGUGAUCAACGGCUCGAUAGCCAGCAUAAUGGGCGCCGGCUCGAUGGCCGGGAGUCGUCGGGAAUCGGCGGCGCAAGAGUUGGCGCUCAUGCUCGGCGAGCGGCCGAACACCAACGCCGCCAACAAUCGCAAGCACGAGCCGACGCCGCUCUACUUACCACCCGCUACGAUCACUCCUAGCGUGUCCCAGCUCACUCUGCGCUCCGUCGCCGACAUUAGCAAUCAGCCGAACCUGCCCCUGCAGCAGCAGCAAAACGAGCCGACGGAGAACGACGCGCUGUUACCGCGACAGGAGGCAGAGGCGACGACGCCACCGGAUCCGCCGCCCCGGAGUUUCGGAGGAUCCUUGGAGAUCGUGUACCCCGCCGAGUCGUACGAGUCUCUGCAGCAGCAGCAGCAGCAGCAGCAGGACCACAAUCGUCAGCUGCCGCUGCUCAACGGCCUCGAGAACUCGGCGGACGCCGCGGCGGCGGCGGCCUUGAACAGGUUCAGGAUGCAGGACGGCGUCAACGGCAACGGCAUCGAGCUCGAAGAGCGACGAUGACCUCGACGGAACGCGCGAAACAAGAGGUCAAAUGCCAGCUAAGCGAAAAUAGCUAUAUAUCGACGGAGAUGGCCGCAUCGUUCGCGCGAAACUUAUAAAUAAAUUUCGCAAUGCGUAUUUUCCCAGAAGACGCGUUUGACCACAAAUCAAUUUUGACUAGGCUAAUAUAGUAAUAAGAGAGUCGCUUCUUCUUUUUGUUUACGCAUUGCUGACUCUUGACGAUCCUGGGCACGCCGGCCAACGGCCACGCGCUGGUCCGCAAGCGCAACCCCGCCUCGCACCACCAGGCGCCGGACUUUCGCA
rnacentral:misc_RNA from 1 species